AAGUCGAACGAUGAUCCCAGCUUGCUGGGGGAUUAGUGGCGAACGGGUGAGUAACACGUGAGUAACCUGCCCUUGACUCUGGGAUAAGCCUGGGAAACCGGGUCUAAUACCGGAUAUGACUUCCUGCCGCAUGGUGGGGGGUGGAAAGCUUUAUUGCGGUUUUGGAUGGACUCGCGGCCUAUCAGCUUGUUGGUGAGGUAAUGGCUCACCAAGGCGACGACGGGUAGCCGGCCUGAGAGGGUGACCGGCCACACUGGGACUGAGACACGGCCCAGACUCCUACGGGAGGCAGCAGUGGGGAAUAUUGCACAAUGGGCGCAAGCCUGAUGCAGCGACGCCGCGUGAGGGAUGACGGCCUUCGGGUUGUAAACCUCUUUCAGUAGGGAAGAAGCGAAAGUGACGGUACCUGCAGAAGAAGCGCCGGCU
rnacentral:rRNA from 1 species